rnacentral:lncRNA from 1 species
AAUUCAGUUUAGGGUUUAAAACCCUAAUGUCGAUUGCAUGGAAAAACUCAGUUUAGGGUUUAAAACCCUAAUGCUGGCUGGAAGAAAAAGUUCAGUUUAGGGUUUAAAACCCUAAUGCUGACUAAAAGGAAUCAGUUUAGGGUUUAAAACCCGAAUGCUGACUAAAAGGAAAAUUUAGUUUAGGGUUUAAAACCCUAAUGCUGAUUGCAUGAAAAAGCUCAGUUUAGAGUUUAAAACUCUAAUGCUGGCUGAAAGGAAAAAGUUCAGUUUAGGGUUUAAAACCCUAAUGCUGACUACAUGGAAAAAGAUUAGUUUAGAGUUUAAAACUCUAAUGCUGGCUGAAAGGAAAAUUCAGUUUAGGGUUUAAAACCCUAAUGCUGAUUGCAUGGAAAAGCUCAGUUUAGAGUUUAAAACUCUAAUGCUAGCUGAAAGAAAAAUUCAGUUUAGGGUUUAAAACCCUAAUGCUGAUUGCAUGGAAAAGCUCAGUUUAGAGUUUAAAACUCUAAUGCUGGCUAAAAGGAAAAUUCAGUUUAGGGUUUAAAACCCUAAUGCUGAUUGCAUGGAAAAGCUUAGUUUAGAGUUUAAAACUCUAAUGCUGGCUGAAAGGAAAAUUCAGUUUAGGGUUUAAAACCCUAAUGCUGAUUGCAUGGAAAAGCUCAGUUUAGAGUUUAAAACUCUAAUGCUGGCUGAAAGGAAAAUUCAGUUUAGGGUUUAAAACCCUAAUGCUGAUUGCAUGGAAAAACUCAGUUUAGAGUUUAAAACUCUAAUGCUGGCUGAAAGGAAAAUUCAGUUUAGGGUUUAAAACCCUAAUGCUGAUUGCAUGGAAAAGCUCAGUUUAGAGUUUAAAACUCUAAUGCUGGCUGAAAGGAAAAUUCAGUUUAAGGUUUAUAACCCUAAUGCUGAUUGCAUGGAAAAGCUCAGUUUAGAGUUUAAAACUCUAAUGCUGGCUGAAAGGAAAAUUCAGUUUAAGGUUUAAAACCCUAAUGUUGAUUGCAUGGAAAAGCUCAGUUUAGAGUUUAAAACUCUAAUGCUGGCUGAAAGGAAAAUUCAGUUUAGGGUUUAAAACCCUAAUGCUGAUUGCAUGGAAAAGCUUAGUUUAGAGUUUAAAACUCUAGUGCUGGCUGAAAGGAAAAUUCAGUUUAGGGUUUAAAACCCUAAUGCUGAUUGCAUGGAAAAGCUCAAUUUAGAGUUUAAAACUCUAAUGCUGGCUGAAAGGAAAAUUCAGUUUAGGGUUUAAACCCUAAUGCUGAUUAAAAGGAAAAUUCAGUUUAGGGUUUAAAACCCUAAUGCUGAUUGAAAGGAAAAUUCAGUUUAGGGUUUAAAACCCUAAUGCUGAUUGGCUGCGGAUAAAGCUUGAGAAUACUACACGAUCUAUUUUUGAGUUUUCUCGUUUUAAUAGAAGGAAAAAGGGAGUUUUUGCGGGAACUUUACCUUUUGAGUGAAUUCCUUAUUGCCAAAAUGUUUCUUGUACCCGUGUACCUUCUUCUUUGGGCGACACCUGCUUCUAGCACGGUUGUCUUGGAUUAACACCUGUUUCAACUUCUCAGACAAAAAACAAUUGUUAGUUCGGAAAUAACGGUUGGUUCGGUGACCUUGAUCGUUCCCAAUUGCUCCCUUGCGUCUUUACUUCUGUUGCGAAGUCCCGCCAUUGAUUCGAUUCGAAUGGCGAAACCUUUAGACUGCUCAGGCUUGUAUUUCCGGAUUCUGUGAUGAUUUUCCUCGUGAGGCCCCUUUUUUUUUGUGUCCCGUUUUGAUUGAAGGUUCUCAACGGGGGUUUCAUUGGAGGUGUACUGUGGGAAUUUGUACAAAAAGGACGCUCUGUGGGGGAAAUAUUUACAAAAUGGAUCCUUUUGUGCGGAUUCUGUACAAUGGGGUGUGCUGGGUUUUUGUUUCAAAAUGGGGUUCCCAGGGUU